CUGGAGGAGCAGGGCACAAUGGUCAGGCUUUAGGGAAUUAAGUGGCUGAUUGUGUUGCAGUGAUUCUUGUUCUAAUCAGCACAUGAAUGCCGGGCCUUCUUUCCUGCCUUCCUUCUCCAGGUCUGUAUCGUUUGAGUUUUUAGGAAUGACGCAGUGUAUUUAUAAAAACAUCUUCGAUGCCAAGCCCCAUGCUGGUGGAGCCGAAUAUAAUUCUGCAACUAGAUCCUAGAACAGAGUAAUGGGACAGGCUCUGAUGGAGAAGAGGAGAUUCCAGCAAGCCCUUCAUCACAGCCUUGUAUCUCUCCAGCUGAAUUAUGGUCUCCGCACUUCACUUCAAGGGCAAGCUUGAAGAGAAAUCUUCUGGGAGCCUGUAUUUAUCCACCAGGAACAGCUGCACUCCAAACUGCUUCCGAAAUGAGUCGUUUGGCUCUGGAGGUCACUGGGGGACAGAGGAACACUGACAGUCUGAAUAAGAGGCCUCCGUUCUGUCCUGUCGUACUGUCACAUUCGGCUCUGGGAGGGACAAAGACCAACAUCUACGACUAAAACUGGCCAUCUUUCAAGGGAGGUAGAGGACAGGACCCUUCCUCAAAACACGCUGGGCAUCUUCUCUCUAAUUGGAACCCCUAAAACAGGAAGUUUGGAUAUAUUUGGGUGAUGUGGGUAUAGCUGGGUGACGUGGGUAUAGCUGGUGACAUGGGUAUAGUUGUGUGAUGUGGGUAUAGUUGUGUGAUGUGGGUAUAGCUGGGUGAUGUGGGUAUAGCUGGGUGAUGUGUGUAUAGUUGGGUGAUGUGUGUAUAGUUGGGUGAUGUGGUCAAUGGGUUUGGAUAGAGGGGGGUCUCCCUGCACCUCUCAGUUACCGUGCCAGGGAGGACGGUAGAGGGUCCAGGAAAUGCUGUGCCUUCUACCCAGAAUCUCUUUAAAACAUGUAAAGACUUCUAAUCAGCACCUCAGA